ensembl:snoRNA LOC120102013 small nucleolar RNA SNORA44
CAAAUUGCCAAUAAAUAUUUUAAAAGUGCAUGCCAGAGUAACGGAGAGACUUUGACAGCCCAGGUUAUCACAGUGCCUGCUGUUGCCACUCAGCUCUCCUAUAUGU